UACGUAGGACCCAAGCGUUAUUCGGAUUUACUGGGCGUAAAGAGUUGCGUAGGUGGCAGAGUAAGUUGGGAGUGAAAUUGUGUGGCUCAACCAUACACCCAUUACCAAAACUGCUCAGCUUGAGGGCGAGAGAGGUUACUAGAAUUCCUAGUGUAGGAGUGAAAUCCGUAGAUAUUAGGAGGAAUACCGAUGGCGUAGGCAGGUAACUGGCUCGUCCCUGACACUAAGGCACGAAAGCGUGGGGAGCAAACGGG
rnacentral:rRNA from 1 species